UACGUAGGGUGCGAGCGUUAAUCGGAAUUACUGGGCGUAAAGCGUGUGUAGGUGGCUGCGUAAGUCGGAUGUGAAAGCCCUGGGCUCAACUCAGGAAGUGCACUCGAUACUGCGUAGCUCGAGUACCGGAGAGGUUGGUGGAAUUCUCGGUGUAGAGGUGAAAUUCGUAGAUAUCGAGAGGAACACCUGUGGCGAAGGCGGCCAACUGGACGAGUACUGACACUGAGACACGAAAGCGUGGGGAGCAAACAGG
rnacentral:rRNA from 1 species